CCCUUAGGUGUUCUGGGCCGCACGCGCGCUACACUGAUGCAUUCAACGAGUCUAAAACCUGGUCUGAGAGGACUGGGUAAUCUUUUGAAAGUGCAUCGUGAUUGGGAUAGAUGAUUGCAAUUCUUCAUCUUCAACGAGGAAUGCCUAGUAAACGCAAGUCAUCAGCUUGCAUUGAUUACGUCCCUGCCCUUUGUACACACCGCCCGUCGCUCCUACCGAUUGAACGAUCCGAUGAAAACUGUGGAUUGAGAGUCUGAGUGGGUUCGCCUACCUCAACUUUCGAGAAGCGGUUUAAAUCUUAUCGUUUAGAGGAAGGAGAAGUCGUAACA
rnacentral:rRNA from 1 species